rnacentral:rRNA from 1 species
AUUGAACGCUGGCGGCAGGCCUAACACAUGCAAGUCGAGCGGAUGAAGGGAGCUUGCUCCUGGAUUCAGCGGCGGACGGGUGAGUAAUGCCUAGGAAUCUGCCUGGUAGUGGGGGAUAACGUCCGGAAACGGGCGCUAAUACCGCAUACGUCCUGAGGGAGAAAGUGGGGGAUCUUCGGACCUCACGCUAUCAGAUGAGCCUAGGUCGGAUUAGCUAGUUGGUGGGGUAAAGGCCUACCAAGGCGACGAUCCGUAACUGGUCUGAGAGGAUGAUCAGUCACACCUGAACUGAGACACGGUCCCGACUCCUACGGGAGGCAGCAGUGGGGAAUAUUGGACAAUGGGCGAAAGCCUGAUCCAGCCAUGCCGCGUGUGUGAAGAAGGUCUUCGGAUUGUAAAGCACUUUAAGUUGGGAGGAAGGGCAGUAAGUUAAUACCUUGCUGUUUUGACGUUACCAACAGAAUAAGCACCGGCUAACUUCGUG